UCAAGUAAUGAAGUGCACAUGGUGGAUGCCUUGGCAGUCAGAGGCGAUGAAAGACGUGAUAGCCUGCGAUAAGCGUCGGUGAGGUGGCAAUAUCCUGUGACCCGGCGAUUUCUGAAUGGGGAAACCCCAGCCAACAUAAGUUGGCUAUCCUAACCUUUGGUUAGGAGGCAAACCGGGAGAAGUGAAACAUCUCAGUACCCCGAGGAAAAGACAUCAAUAGAGAUUCCCCAAGUAGCGGCGAGCGAACGGGGAGUAGCCGAAUCAAACUUGUAGUAGCAAAAUGGCGUGGGAAAGCCAACCAUAGUAGGUGAUAGUUCCUGUAUGCGAAACUGCAAAUGCGACACAUUAAGUAGGGCGAGACACGUGAAAUCUUGUCUGAAGAUGGGGGGACCAUCCUCCAAGGCUAAAUACUCCUGACUGACCGAUAGUGAACCAGUACGUGAGGGAAAGGCGAAAAGAAACCCCUGUUAGGGGAGUGAAAUAGAACCUGAAACCGUGUGCAUACAAGCAGUCGGAGCCCACUUGUUGGGUGACGGCGUACCUUUUGUAUAAUGGGUCAGCGACUUAUAUUCUGUAGCAAGGUUAACCGUUAGGGGAGCCGUAGGGAAACCGAGUCUUAAUAGGGCGAAUGAGUUGCAGGGUAUAGACCCGAAACCGAGUGAUCUAUCCAUGAGCAGGUUGAAAGUGCCGUAACAGGCACCGGAGGACCGAAACCCACUGUCGUUGAAAAGCCAGGGGAUGACUUGUGGAUAGGGGUGAAAGGCUAAUCAAACUCGGUGAUAGCUGGUUCUCCCCGAAAGCUAUUUAGGUAGCGCCUCGGACGAAUACCAUUGGGGGUAGAGCACUGUUUCGGCUAGGGGGUCAUCCCGACUUACCAAACCGAUGCAAACUCCGAAUACCGAUGAGUACUAUCCGGGAGACAGACGGCGGGUGCUAACGUCCGUCGUCAAGAGGGAAACAACCCAGACCGCCAGCUAAGGCCCCAAAUUCCUAGUUAAGUGGGAAACGAUGUGGGAAGGCACAGACAGCUAGGAUGUUGGCUUAGAAGCAGCCAUCAUUUAAAGAAAGCGUAAUAGCUCACUAGUCGAGUCGGCCUGCGCGGAAGAUGUAACGGGGCUCAAACUAGGAGCCGAAGCUGCGGAUUUAAUUGUUUCAAUUAAGUGGUAGGGGAGCGUUGUGUAAGCCUGUGAAGGUGUAUCGUAAGGUAUGCUGGAGGUAUCACAAGAGCGAAUGCUGACGUGAGUAACGACAAAACGGGUGAAAAGCCCGUUCGCCGAAAGACCAAGGGUUCCAGUCCAACGUUAAUCGGGGCUGGGUGAGUCGACCCCUAAGGCGAGGCCGAAAGGCGUAGUCGAUGGGAAAUUGGUUAAUAUUCCAAUACUUGUUUAUGAUGCGAUGGAGGGACGGAGAAGGUUAUGUCAGCCUGGCGUUGGUUGUCCAGGUGAAAGGAUGUAGGUAGGCUUGGUAGGCAAAUCCGCCAAGCUAUUACUGAGAUCUGAUAGCAAGCCAGCUUGCUGGCGAAGUGGCAAAUACCCUGCUUCCAGGAAAAGCUUCUAAGCGAUAGUCAUAAACAAAUCGUACCCGAAACCGACACAGGUGGUCAGGUAGAGAAUACUAAGGCGCUUGAGAGAACUCUGCUGAAGGAACUAGGCAAAAUGGUACCGUAACUUCGGGAGAAGGUACGCUGCCGACGGUGAUUAAACUUGCUUUAUGAGCUGUUGGCAGUCGCAGAUACCAGGCUGCUGCAACUGUUUAUUAAAAACACAGCACUCUGCAAACACGAAAGUGGACGUAUAGGGUGUGAUGCCUGCCCGGUGCUGGAAGGUUAAUUGAUGGGGUUAGCGUAUGCGAAGCUCUUGAUCGAAGCCCCAGUAAACGGCGGCCGUAACUAUAACGGUCCUAAGGUAGCGAAAUUCCUUGUCGGGUAAGUUCCGACCUGCACGAAUGGCAUAAUGAUGGCAGCGCUGUCUCCAGCAGAGACUCAGUGAAAUCGAAAUCGCAGUGAAGAUGCUGUGUACCCGCGGCUAGACGGAAAGACCCCGUGAACCUUUACUACAGCUUUACAUUGAACUUUGACCUAACUUGUGUAGGAUAGGUGGGAGGCUUUGAAGUGUGAACGCCAGUUUGCAUGGAGCCAUCCUUGAAAUACCACCCUGGUUAUGUUGGGGUUCUAACUUAGAUACAACAAUAUCAAGGACAAUGUAUGGUGGGUAGUUUGACUGGGGCGGUCUCCUCCUAAAGAGUAACGGAGGAGUACGAAGGUGCGCUCAGAACGGUCGGAAAUCGUUCAAAGAGUAUAAAGGCAAAAGCGCGCUUAACUGCGAGACCCACAAGUCGAGCAGGUACGAAAGUAGGUCUUAGUGAUCCGGUGGUUCUGUAUGGAAGGGCCAUCGCUCAACGGAUAAAAGGUACUCUGGGGAUAACAGGCUGAUACCGCCCAAGAGUUCAUAUCGACGGCGGUGUUUGGCACCUCGAUGUCGGCUCAUCUCAUCCUGGGGCUGAAGCAGGUCCCAAGGGUAUGGCUGUUCGCCAUUUAAAGAGGUACGCGAGCUGGGUUUAGAACGUCGUGAGACAGUUCGGUCCCUAUCUACCGUGGGCGUUGGAAAUUUGAGAGGAUCUGCUCCUAGUACGAGAGGACCAGAGUGGACGAACCUCUGGUGUUCCGGUUGUUUCGCCAGAAGCAUUGCCGGGUAGCUAUGUUCGGAUGGGAUAACCGCUGAAAGCAUCUAAGCGGGAAGCCCACCUCAAGAUAAGAUUUCCCUAAAGAGCCGUUGUAGACGACGACGUUGAUAGGUUGGGUGUGGAAGCAUGGUGACAUGUGUAGCUAACCAAUACUAAUUGCUCGUUUGGCUUGACCAU
rnacentral:rRNA from 1 species